rnacentral:rRNA from 1 species
AUACGGAGGAUACGAGCGUUAUCCGGAUUUAUUGGGUUUAAAGGGAGCGUAGGUGGAUUGUUAAGUCAGUUGUGAAAGUUUGCGGCUCAACCGUAAAAUUGCAGUUGAAACUGUCAGUCUUGAGUACAGUAGAGGUGGGCGGCAUUCGUGGGGUAGCGGUGAAAUGCUUAGAUAUCACGAAGAACUCCGAUUGCGAAGGCAGCUCACUAGACUGUUACUGACACUGAUGCUCGAAAGUGUGGGUAUCAAACAGGAUUAGAUACCCUGGUAGUCCACACAGUAAACGAUGAAUACUCGCUGUUUGCGAUAUACAGUAAGCGGCCAAGCGAAAGCAUUAAGUAUUCCACCUGGGGAGUACGUUCGCAAGAAUGAAACUCAAAUGAAUUGGCGGGG